rnacentral:lncRNA from 1 species
UGGCUGUGUUCAGAUCUGCGCGGACUUGGGGGUUGCUGGAGGGGCUCCCGUUAGCGGACUUACCUUUUCAUUAAAACAAACUGGAAAUUCGAGUUUGCCGUGGCUCCUGGUGACCUGGGUAAGCAGACCAGAGUUUAAAUAGCAUGCUGGCUUGCAAAUUAUUUCAGCGAAGAUGACUAAGACCGUUUCAUUCGCAGGGCGUCAGUCACUGAAAGACCUCUUGCAGCUGCGGCUCUGAAUGCAUUUGCCCUCCGUCCUGUUUAGCGCUGACGCUUGAGCAGCGAAAUGAAAAGGAACGGAGCAACAGGAUGCUUGUGUUCCUACCUGCACUUAUCGGCCUUCCAGGUCACCUUUUAUCACAGAUGUGCUCAAGAAACUCCAUAUUUUCAAGAGGAUUUACACAGAAGCACAACAGAAAUAUAAGACUUGCUCAAAUCAAUGAACCAUCUACUUUCAAGGUAACUGCACUACUGGUAUUUUUAAGAGUCUAGGAGAAAAGCUUUGUCACUAAAAUACUCUUUGCAC